CACGUAGGGUGCGAGCGUUGUCCGGAUUUAUUGGGCGUAAAGAGCGUGUAGGCGGCCAGGUAGGUCCGUUGUGAAAACUCGAGGCUCAACCUCGAGACGUCGAUGGAAACCAUUUGGCUAGAGUCCGGAAGAGGAGAGUGGAAUUCCUGGUGUAGCGGUGAAAUGCGCAGAUAUCAGGAAGAACACCUAUGGCGAAGGCAGCUCUCUGGGACGGUACUGACGCUGAGACGCGAAAGCGUGGGGAGCGAACAGG
rnacentral:rRNA from 1 species